rnacentral:tRNA from 1 species
GGGCGCAUAGCUCAGUUGGUUAGAGUGCUUCCUUGACAUGGAAGAGGUCAGUGGUUCAAGUCCACUUGCGCCCA